CCGGCGGUUUUGACAGAUCGAAACUGUUUAUCAAACAAUUUCACGCACUCGCUCAUGAUCAUUCGUGGUCGCUUUAGUUUUUUUUUAUCACCGCUAAAUUAAUACCUAAUAAUUCAAAUUUAACACUCGAUAGUAACUAGCGCGACGAAUUUUCGAUGUGCUUGGAGAAACUGUAACUAAAAUAGUGUUCAACUAACGCUGAUAAGGUUUUAAAUGGAUAAAAGCUGCGAGGUAAUCGAUUUAUGUGUUAAAUCCGAGAAAUCCGAUGACACAUCCACCACCAUUCCAUUCGAAGCAAAUUCAAAUGCUGAUGCGCGUCUUCCAGAAACCGAGGAAAAUACAAUUUGCAGUGCCGAUUUUCCUAGUAAAAGAGAAUAUACCGAACAGUGGGUCAGUGAACAGAAUGCUACUAUUCCACCAAGCUCUAAAAUGCCAUGCAUAGAAAGUUCCUUUGUACGGACGCCUGCAUUGGAAACUCAGCCUCAGGAUAUUGUUGGCACAAUACCUACCGAAAUCACUGAACUAGUCAACAAUGAGUGCGCUAUAAAGCUAAUAAACCAUUUAGUUAUCUAUGCGUUCAACAAAAUUACUGAGGCAGACUUGCACAGAAAAUUGAUCUCCGUAACUCCCGACAUAGACCCGCAAAUCAAUUAUCGAAGCAAAAUUGGUUUUCGAUGUGUUUACGAACGUUGCGUAGUGCUGUUCUAUGAAGCACUGCUGGAUCUGACUGAAAUACUGCAGAAACUUUCGCCACCGCAUCUGGAAAUAGUCAUCUUGUGGAUGUACAAUACGGUAGAGAACAUAUCUAGAGCUCAUGGUGUGGAUAGCAGCUUCCUACGGAACGAAAAGUAUAUCGAAACCCUAUUGAGAGAUUUUUCGAGCAGCCAGAGUGAGAUUCCAAAUCCGGAGAACAUAUUUUUCAAUAUCUAUCGUAAAAUGCAACCAACCGAGGUGACAGUCGGGACACAGUUGCAAACAGCUUCCGAAGGGCCCCCAAAGAAGAAGGGCAGGCAGAGAAAACCUCGCACCAAAAAGGACAAUCAACUAGCAAUAUUGCAACGUAUCAGUAAGUAGUCGAAACGUGACUCUAGCGAUUGAGAUUAAACGGGUUGAACUCGAGUAUUCAAAACAUGACAAUAAUUCUGCCUUAAACACAUAGAAUCAAAUGUAUUAGUUACUUAAACUGGCAGAAGUGAGUCUUACCAAAAGCCUAAGAUUAGUUAAGGUAAAAUAUGUCCAGCCAUAGCUGCUAUGAAUUCGUUCCAUUGUGUUUCUUAGUUAAAUAAUAAAAACCUUUAUUACCACAAUA